GACGAACGCUGGCGGCGUGCCUAAUACAUGCAAGUAGAACGCUGAAGGGAGGAGCUUGCUCUUCUUGGAUGAGUUGCGAACGGGUGAGUAACGCGUAGGUAACCUGCCUUGUAGCGGGGGAUAACUAUUGGAAACGAUAGCUAAUACCGCAUAACAAUGGAUGACACAUGUCAUUUAUUUGAAAGGGGCAAUUGCUCCACUACAAGAUGGACCUGCGUUGUAUUAGCUAGUAGGUGAGGUAACGGCUCACCUAGGCGACGAUACAUAGCCGACCUGAGAGGGUGAUCGGCCACACUGGGACUGAGACACGGCCCAGACUCCUACGGGAGGCAGCAGUAGGGAAUCUUCGGCAAUGGGGGCAACCCUGACCGAGCAACGCCGCGUGAGUGAAGACGGUUUUCGGAUCGUAAAGCUCUGUUGUAAGUCAAGAACGAGUGUGAGAGUGGAAAGUUCACACUGUGACGGUAGCUUACCAGAAAGGGACGGCUAACUACGUGCCAGCAGCCGCGGUAAUACGUAGGUCCCGAGCGUUGUCCGGAUUUAUUGGGCGUAAAGCGAGCGCAGGCGGUUUGAUAAGUCUGAAGUUAAAGGCUGUGGCUCAACCAUAGUUCGCUUUGGAAACUGUCAAACUUGAGUGCAGAAGGGGAGAGUGGAAUUCCAUGUGUAGCGGUGAAAUGCGUAGAUAUAUGGAGGAACACCGGUGGCGAAAGCGGCUCUCUGGUCUGUAACUGACGCUGAGGCUCGAAAGCGUGGGGAGCGAACAGGAUUAGAUACCCUGGUAGUCCACGCCGUAAACGAUGAGUGCUAGGUGUUGGAUCCUUUCCGGGAUUCAGUGCCGCAGCUAACGCAUUAAGCACUCCGCCUGGGGAGUACGACCGCAAGGUUGAAACUCAAAGGAAUUGACGGGGGCCCGCACAAGCGGUGGAGCAUGUGGUUUAAUUCGAAGCAACGCGAAGAACCUUACCAGGUCUUGACAUCCCGAUGCUAUUUCUAGAGAUAGAAAGUUACUUCGGUACAUCGGUGACAGGUGGUGCAUGGUUGUCGUCAGCUCGUGUCGUGAGAUGUUGGGUUAAGUCCCGCAACGAGCGCAACCCCUAUUGUUAGUUGCCAUCAUUCAGUUGGGCACUCUAGCGAGACUGCCGGUAAUAAACCGGAGGAAGGUGGGGAUGACGUCAAAUCAUCAUGCCCCUUAUGACCUGGGCUACACACGUGCUACAAUGGUUGGUACAACGAGUUGCGAGUCGGUGACGGCAAGCUAAUCUCUUAAAGCCAAUCUCAGUUCGGAUUGUAGGCUGCAACUCGCCUACAUGAAGUCGGAAUCGCUAGUAAUCGCGGAUCAGCACGCCGCGGUGAAUACGUUCCCGGGCCU
rnacentral:rRNA from 1 species